GAGCAACGUGUAGAGCUGUGGGAGAAGAAAGAAGACGGAAAAAGGAAAGAAAUAAAAGAAAACACGGAGUCACCUGAAGCGGCUGAGGCGAACCGAGGAAGGGAUGUUGCGAGGAGCAAAGUGAGGUAAGGAGGAAUGCGGUUACGGUAGAUCGCGGACCAGUCCUCGUACAGGUCCUGCAAGGCCCGACAGGGACCACGAAAAACGAGCAAAACGAAAACCGCGCGGCCCCACUACGUGUGCACGCGAGCGCACGCUCCAUGAUGAGGAUCUGUUCGCGCCAUUCAGCAAUGACUUACCGCUGUUGGCCGAAUGGAUUUCUAUCGUUUUCGAAGACCAACCUGUAUAUACAACUGUCAGAUACAGAACCGCUUUGGCUAGCAGGGAUAGAGAUCGCGGACGGAAAUACUUAAGUGGGGCUGAAAGACUGAAACGGAAGAAGCAGCGAGACGAUUAUAUUAAACAGCAAACAAACAACAUUUUGAAGUAUGUAAUUGAAACUAAUGAUCAUUCAAGACAGCCAAACGAAGGUGAAGAACAUACGGCAAUGAAUCAGGUCCCUUUGGAAGAGGAAAACCAAGAGUUGAAUACAGUUGUGAAUGAAAAUGAAGAAG
rnacentral:misc_RNA from 1 species